GAUGAACGCUGGCGGCGUGCCUAACACAUGCAAGUCGAACGGAAAGGCCAUGCUUUUGUGGGGUGCUCGAGUGGCGAACGGGUGAGUAACACGUGAGUAACCUGCCCUUGACUUUGGGAUAACUUCAGGAAACUGGGGCUAAUACCGGAUAGGAGCUCCUGCUGCACGGUGGGGGUUGGAAAGUUUCGGCGGUUGGGGAUGGACUCGCGGCUUAUCCGCUUGUUGGGGGGGUAGUGGCUUACCAAGGGUUCGACGGGUAGCCGGCAUGAGAGCGUGACCGGCGUCAUUAGUCCUAAGGGACGGCCCAGUCUCCAACGUUCGGCAACGGGGGGAAAUCUGGCGGAGUGACGGGAAGCCAGUUACGACAGCCUCCGGUGCGUAAAACCGUCCUACUAGUGAAAAACCGCUUUCUCCGGUACCAAGGCCGGAUUGACGGUAAUUGAUAAGAAAGCACCGGCUAACUACGUG
rnacentral:rRNA from 1 species